rnacentral:tRNA from 5 species
GCGGAAAGACGCGCAAUUGCGGGUAGCGCAGGUCGCUAGACAGCCUUCCAAGCUUUCGAUCAGGGUUCGAUUCCCUGUAUCCGCUCCA